rnacentral:ncRNA from 1 species
AUAAUGAUACUCCUGUUUCGUCAUAAGGUCGUGCGUACAAUGCUGAGUGUGGUAAGAACACGAAGUGUUCUUGGGAUGAAUGCUCCGCAUUCAUUGGCGUCGCAACAAAUGAAAGCAGUUCCGGGAGACCCCCGGAAGGGUGAGAUUCCCGUG